rnacentral:rRNA from 1 species
GACGAACGCUGGCGGCGUGCUUAACACAUGCAAGUCGAACGGAAAGGCCCUGCUUUUGUGGGGUGCUCGAGUGGCGAACGGGUGAGUAACACGUGAGUAACCUGCCCUUGACUUUGGGAUAACUUCAGGAAACUGGGGCUAAUACCGGAUAGGAGCUCCUGCUGCAUGGUGGGGGUUGGAAAGUUUCGGCUGUUGGGGAUGGACUCGCGGCUUAUCAGCUUGUUGGUGGGGUAGUGGCUUACCAAGGCUUUGACGGGUAGCCGGCCUGAGAGGGUGACCGGCCACAUGGGUACUGAGAUACGGACCAGACUCCUACGGGAGGCAGCAGUGGGGAAUAUUGCACAAUGGGCGGAAGCCUGAUGCAGCAACGCCGCGUGCGGGAUGACGGCCUUCGGGUUGUAAACCGCUUUCGCCUGUGACGAAGCGUGAGUGACGGUAAUGGGUAAAGAAGCACCGGCUAACUACGUG